rnacentral:misc_RNA from 1 species
UCCGGCUUAACGCCGGCGGUCUCGCUAGAGUCCCCGGCUUUACCCGCUGGCAACUAGCGACAAGGGUUUCGCUCGUUAAGGGACUUAACCCGACACUUCACAGCACGAGCUGACGACAGCCAUGCAGCACCUGUGCACGUUCCACCCGAAGGCGUGGCCCGGCUUUCACCGGGUUAAUCCGUGCAUGUCAAGACUAGGAUAAGGUUCUUCGCGUAGCCUCGAAUUAAGCCACAUCCUCCACCGCUUGUGUGAGCCCCCGUCAAUUUCUUUGAGUUUCAGCCUUGCGACCAUACUCCCCAGGCGGAGCACUUAACACUUUCGCUACGGCUGAAAGGCUAUGGAGGACCCUUCAACCCAGUGCUCAUCGUUUACAGCUAGGACUAC